rnacentral:rRNA from 1 species
GUCCACGCCCUAAACGAUGUCAAUUAGCUGUUGGGGGUUAGAAUCCUUGGUAGCGUAGCUAACGCGUGAAAUUGACCGCCUGGGGAGUACGGCCGCAAGGUUAAAACUCAAAGGAAUUGACGGGGCCCGCACAAGCGGUGGAUGAUGUGGAUUAAUUCGAUGCAACGCGAAAAACCUUACCUGCUCUUGACAUGUACGGAAUUUGCCAGAGAUGGCUUGGUGCCCGAAAGGGAGCCGUAACACAGGUGCUGCAUGGCUGUCGU